GAUGAAGAACGUAGCGAAAUGCGAUAAGUAAUGUGAAUUGCAGAAUUCAGUGAAUCAUCGAAUCUUUGAUCGCACCUUGCGCCCUUUGGCCAUUCCGAAGGGCAUGCCUGUUUGAGUAUCAUGAACACCUCAACUCUUUAUGGUUUUCCAUGAUGAGCUUGGACUUUGGGGGUUUUGCUGGCCUAUGGUCGGCUCCUCUAAAAUAAAUCAGCUUACCGGUGUUUGGUGGGUAUCAUGGGUGUGAUAACUAUCUACGCUUGUGGUUUUUCCACCAGGUAACCUUCGACAGCGGAGGUUCACUGGAGCUCAUAGAUGUCUCUCCUCAGCGAGGACAGCCCUUUGAAUGUUUGAUCUCAAAUCAGGUAGGACUACCCGCUGAACUUAAGCAUAUCAAUAAGCGGAGGA
rnacentral:misc_RNA from 1 species